UUAUCGUAUAUAUCUCCCUUUAUUGCUAGUAGGAUCGGAAUAGAGUCUGAGUUGAUAGAACCAUUUGAGGUAGCUACACCUGUAGGAGAUUUUGUCAUAGCUACGCGAGUAUAUAGGAAUUGUUCAGUAGUUAUAUAUAGUCAUCGUACCGUAGGAGAUCUAAUAGAGUUAAAUAUGAUUGAGUUUGAUAUUAUCAUGGGCAUGGAUUGGUUGGCUGCUUGUUAUGCUAAUGUUGAUUGCAGAGGAAAGAUAGUUCGAUUUUAAUUUCCAGGGGAACCGAUUAUAGAGUGGAAGGGAAGUACAAUAUCGCCGAAAGGUAAGUUCAUUUCAUACCUCAAGGCCGGGAAGAUGGUUAGAAAAGGCUAUAUUUACCAUCUGAUUUAGGUGCAUGACAUAAAGGCAGAGGCACCGACUCUUCAAUCAGUCCCAGUAGUUAAUGAAUUUCCCGAUGUAUUCCCCGAGGAACUUCCAGGCCUUCCUCCAGAACGGGAGAUAGAGUUUACUAUAGAUGUACUGCCAGAUACCCAGCCUAUAUUUAUACCUCCUUAUAGAAUGGCACCUGCUGAGUUGAAAGAAUUGAAAGAGCAAUUGAGGGAUUUGCUAGAAAAGGGCUUCAUCAGGCCUAGUACGUCACCUUGGGGAGCACUGGUACUGUUUGUGAGGAAGAAGGAUGGGUCGUUGCGGAUGUGCAUUGAUUAUAGGCAGCUGAACAAAGUAACAAUAAAGAACAGGUAUCCCCUCCCAAGGAUUGACGAUCUAUUUGACCAGUUGCAGGGUGUAAAGUGUUUUUCAAAGAUAGAAUUGCGGUCAGGUUAUCAUCAGGUGCGGGUAAGGGAGGCAGAUAUUCCAAAGACGGCAUUCCGAACCCGAUAUGGGCAUUAUGAGUUUAGAGUGUUGUCUUUUGGGCUGACUAAUGCUCCAGCGGUGUUCAUGGAUUUAAUGAAUCGAGUAUUUAAACCAUUCCUUCAUAUGUUUGUUAUUGUAUUUAUAGACGAUAUUCUGGUUUAUUCACGUUCAGAAGACGAGCAUGCAGACCAUUUAAGGACGGUACUUAGGGUGCUUCAGCACCAAAAGUUGUAUGCUAAAUUUUCUAAGUGCGAGUUCUGGUUGACUUCAGUGGCAUUCUUGGGGCAUAUUAUUGGAGCUGAUGGUAUUCGGGUAGACAUGCAGAAGAUUGAGGCGGUAAAGACUUGGCCCAGACCUACGACACCUAUUGAGGUACGCAGCUUUCUGGGGUUAGCAGGAUAUUACAGGAGAUUCGUAGAAAAGUUUGCCUCAAUUUCAGCGCCUUUGACAAGGCUAACUCAAAAGGCAGCCAAGUUUCAGUGGACUGAUGCUUGUGCAUGAAGCUUCCAGCUAUUGAAAGACAAAUUGACUACAGCUCCAGUCCUAACUCUUCUGGAGGGACCAGACGGCUAUGUUAUUUAUUGUGAUGCUUCGAGUGUUGGGCUAGGAUGUGUAUUGAUGCAGCAUGGCAAAGUUAUAGCCUAUGCCUCCCGACAGCUUAGGAAGCAUGAAAAGAACUAUCCUACUCACGAUCUGGAGUUAGCGGUCGUGGUUCAUGCCUUGAAGAUAUGGAGGCAUUAUUUAUAUGGUGUCCAUGUGGACAUCUAUACAGAUCAUAAGAGUCUCCAAUAUAUCUUUAAACAGAAGGAGCUGAACUUACGAUAGAGGCGGUGGUUAGAGGUUCUAAAGGAUUAUGAUGUUGAUAUUUUCUAUCAUCUAGGGAAAGCGAAUGUUGCAGCAGAUGCUCUUAGCCAUAAGUCCAUGGGUAGCUUGACAGAUGUACAACCAUAAAGGAGGGAAAUGGUUCGGGAGAUUCAGUGGCUAUCUAGCCUUGGAGUCCGUCUAGCUAAUUCAGAAGAUAGUGGAGUUUCUAUUCGAGAGGUUGCUGAGUCCUCAAUCAUAGAUGAGAUAAAGAGACACCAAUACAAGGACCCUAUUCUGGCGCAGUAUAGAGAUGCAGCUCUUCAAAAGGAAAAGACCCCAUUUAAGGUUACACCUGACGGAGUGUUACGAUAUGAAGGCAGAUUGUGUGUACCCGAUACUGCGGGGCUACGACGGCAGGUUAUGGGAGAGGCACACUCUGCCCGUUAUUCUAUUCACUCAGGGUCAACGAAAAUGUAUCAUGACCUCAGAUGCUUAUAUUGGUAGGAUGGUAUGAAAAAGGACAUAGCGGAGUUUGUUGCUCAGUACCCGAAUUGUCAACAAGUCAAGAUCGAACAUCAAAAGCCUGGUGGAUUAUUACAGGAGAUAGAGAUCCCGACUUGGAAAUGGGAGAUGAUUAAUAUGGACUUCAUUACAGGCUUACCUCGCAAUCAACGGAAGAAUGACUCUAUAUGGGUUAUUGUAGAUAGGCUGACGAAAUCGGCCCAUUUUCUUCCAGUCAGGACUAAUUAUUCGGCUGAAGAUUAUGCGAGGUUAUAUGUCAGGGAGAUAGUGAGACUUCAUGGGGUUCCCACGUCCAUUAUAUCAGACAAAGGAGCUCAAUUUACAGCCAACUUUUGGAGAUCGUUUCAGAAGGGAUUGGGGACACAGGUGAACCUUAGCACAACAUUUCACCCUCAGACUAAUGGGCAGGUUGAGCGUACUAUUCAGACACUAGAAGAUAUGUUACAGGCCUAUAUUAUUGACUUCAAAGGUAGUUGGGAUGACCACUUGCCGCUCAUUGAGUUUGCCUAUAACAAUAGCUACCAUUCUAGUAUCCAGAUAGCACUGUACGAGGCCUUAUAUGGGAGGAAGUGCAGAUCAUCUAUUGGUUGGUUUGAUGUUGGCGAGACUAAGUUAAUAGGCCUGGAUGUGAUUCAGGAAGUUGUUGACAAGGUGAAGCUUAUUCAAGAAAGAUUAUUGGCAGCCCAGAGUCGACAGAUGUCAUAUGCAGAUAAUUGGCGUCGAGAUUUGGAGUUUCAGAUUGGUGACUGGGUAUUCCUGAAGGUAUCACCCAUGAGGGGUGUGAUGAGAUUCGGUAGGAAGGGGAAGCUCAGUCCGAGAUACAUUGGGCCUUAUCAGAUUGUUCGUAGGAUAGGCAAGGUUGCCUAUGAGUUGGAUCUACCAUCUAAUUUGGAGGCGGUACAUCCAGUCUUCCAUGUAUCGAUGCUACGUAAAUGUAUUGGUGAUCCUUCUAGAGUAUUCCCGUAGAUGAUGUUCAGGUAACAGAGGAGUUGUCAUAUGAGGAGAAACCCGUAGCUAUACUUGAUCGCCAGGUUAGAAGGCUACGUACUAAGGAUGUGGCUUUCGUCAAAGUGUUGUGGCAAAAUAACAAUAGGGAGGAGAUGACUUGGGAAGCGGAAGACAAAAUGAAGAAUAAGUAUCCUUACUUGUUCCCCGUACCUGUAGGUAAUAUAAUUCCUAGCUUGACUAUAUUGAUAGAUAAUGAGAUUAUGUAGCUGUGAGGCAUCUGUAAGUUACGGAAUGCAGGUUGAUAGGUAUAACUUUUAGAGAGACCUCACUGGAAUUGGUUUUUUUAAUAAGACGCUAACUUAACAUUCGAGGACAAAUGUUCCUAAGGGGGGAAGGAUGUUAUGCCUCGUAUUUUUUUAUACGUAGUGCGCAUCAUGAUCUAGUAGACGUAAGUCCGGGGAAUGAGAUUUUAUUUUAAGUUCCAAAUGAUUAAAGAAAUAUUAGGCAAGGAUGUUAAUUCCAAAUGUGAUAUUAAGUAUGAUUUGGCUAAUGUAAGUGUCAUUAACCUUAAGUGAGGGAUUAAUUAGUGGCUGAUUAGGAUUAAUUUAAUCCAGUGGGCCCCACCACUCAUAAUUGGUGGCUGAUUAAUAUUUAAUCCAGUGGGCCCCACCACUCAAGACAAAAAUUAAAAAGAUCAGAUUAUGAGCUGGCCUUAGUGGACAGGUGUAGAGGGGGGCUGCCUCCACUUCAUACUAUUAAAUGAGGUGGAGAAAUCCACUCUAUGCUAAAUAAAGUGGUGAAAUGCAUUGCUGCAUAUCAUCUUCUUCUUCACCACUUGUUUUAGGCAGCCAUGGAAAUGGAGAAACCAACCCUGCAACUCUUGUCCAGCAGCUGCAAUAAUUUGGUUAGUAAUCUCCUUGCUUGGUGUGUUAAUUAUUUAGAAUACCUUUGUUAAUUAUCCACUAAUUUUAAGAAGGGGUGUGAUCAGUAGCUUAGGAAGUUUGUUUUAGUUAUUGAAUGUACUAAGUAUGAACGGAAACCAUAAUCGGAUUAUUAGUGGUGUCGUGUUGGUGCUUGGGCUGUUUUGAUUAAAGCAAACUGCGGGAAAAUUCUGUUUUGGAAUUAUGUAUAUGUUAAAUGUGAUUAUGAGUAUAUACUCCAAAGGAUGAAUACGAUAAGGUAGAUGUGUUGCGAAUUAUAAAACGAGUUAUCACUCGGUGUGUCGUUGCUUCGCUGCUAUGGUUGCCGAGACGGAACUGUUUUGGGGAGGGGGCUGUUUAAUAUGAUUCGUUGGGUUAUAUGUGUUGUUGGUAUUGCUAUGGAUAAUUUGGGUUGUUGUCGUAUUGGGACGAAGUAAGGAAAAUAGGGGAAGUGCUGCCGAAUUUUCGUUAGAUUAUUAGCUAGCUUACAAGAAAGUAAAGCGCGAUGUUUAUCUAAUUGCGGCACGAUUGUUGCUUGUUAGAGAUUAAUAGCUUGAGCAGUAAAUAUUGGACGUGCGGCCCGAUUAUACGGUAUGUAACACUGUCCCUUCUUUCUUUGUUUGGCAUGACUUUUCAAAAUAAGCGAAUAACGGACAGGUUUGAUACUUACCUCUAGAGCGUCUAGGUGACAUAUAUUCUUGCUUCCACAAUUAUUCUUCUAUAUAUCGGCUAUGUCUAAGGCUAUGAUGAUCUCUAAUAUCUAUGGUAGUGCUUCUUAGAGUCAUUGAGAUUUUACGUUUCCAUAUCGUAUUAAAGGUUCAUAAUCUUAAUAAAACAUUAAUCUUUGGUAAUACUCCUUGCUGGUUCACGUUGUUGUUCUAUUGAGUUAUAAGAAAUGAUUUUAAUUGUAUAUGGUUGCUCAUAAUAUUCUGCUCGUGCAUAGAGUCAUUUAUCAUUUCACCGAGUCCCAGGCCGGGUAAUGUCCGUGCAGAGUUUCUUGCAUAUGUCACCGAGUUCCUCACUAGAGGGCCGGGUAUGUAUAUUAUAUAUAUGAUUGGUGAUGAGGAUGGUCAUGAUGAUGAUUAUGACGAAGAUCACGUGAUGAUUAUUUUGCCGAGCCCCUUACUAGGGAAGCUGGGCACCUCAUAUGUUAAAUAUAUGCAUGAUUUUAACUUAAAAGGGUAUAUGUGUAGCGAUAUUUUGCUUCGACUUGCCAUAUUGGUAUCCUGUCAUCUUUACCUUAUGCUUUACAUACUCAGUACAUUGUCCGUACUGACCCCCCCUUUCCUCGGGGGGCUGCGUUUCAUGCCCGCAGGUGUAGACGCACAGUUCGGUGAUCCUCCCGCCUAGGAUAUCUACUCUGCUGAUUGGGAGAGCUCCACUGUUCCGGAGCCCAGUCAUUUUGGUACAUAACUUUUUGUGUAGUCUUUUGCUCGUCUAUGGGUAUGGCGGGGCCCUGUCCCGUCGAGUUUCACUACUGUACUCUUAGAGGUCUGUGGACAUUAUGUGGGUUGUAUAUAUAUGUUUUGGAUAAUGGUCUGGACAUGGUUUGUUUGGGAUGUCCGCUUGUACAGGGGCAGCCUUGUUGGCUGCGUACAUCAUUGUGUAUUGUGUAGUGGCAGCCUUGUCGGCUUACGUAUGUUAUUAUGCUUUGAAUAGUGGCGGCCUUGUCGGCUCGCGUAUGCUUUUAUGGUUGAAUGGUUAUGACUCCUUAUGAGACAGGUCUUCUUUAUAUAUAUAUGAUGUUGGGGUUGGCUUGAUUUGAUUAAAUUCCAUAUUGUCUUAGUUUCAGUUGGUUAUACUUAGCAGGUUUGUAUGUGGGUGUCCAAAACGGGCACUAGUCACGGCCCACCCGGUUGGGUCGUGACACCUUGGUAAGAUCCACCUGGACCUUAACUCUAGUGGUACUGCCCCUAGUUCUUUGAGAUGUAGGUGUAUCCAAGAACAACACUUUCCCAAUACUCUCCAAAAUAGUUGAUAAAAGAACUUUGUUGUAGCAAUGCCAAGGAAGUCCCGGAAUAGACACCCCUAUAGGAACAACUAGUGUUUCCUCUUCAGGAGAAAAAUCAGGGGUCCAAGCUUGUAUUCUCAUAGCUUGUCCUUCAAUAUUCAUUUUCAGCUUUGUCCAAACAGUUUUGUAGUCAAGUUCAUUAUCCAGGUCAAUGUAAACAUGCCUAGAAUUGAAAUGUGUGAUUUUAACACCCCCCAUCAGUUGAGUUUGCAAAAUGAAGCUUUUUCUAACUUGCUCCAUCCUAGGCAUUGUGUUAGUAAACUUGCCCACAAGAUUAUAUUUACAAAUCUCCGCUAAUCUAACAUAAUAAUCAUCCUCAUCAAUAAGCACAGCAGGGAAUCCUUGUCUAGUCGUAUGAACAGGCUCAUUCAAAGUAAUUAGAGUUUCAUUUUUUGCCUGAUUAUACCUCAACCUAGCAGCAAAAGACUGUACCACAGUGUAGGGGGCAGGUUCUGAGGUUUGAUCAUUUUUACUGUUGUUAUCAGGUUGUUGCCCUGCUGUUGAUUAAUUGGGUUCCUAGUAGUAGCCUGAGAAGCCUGGCCAAACUUGAAAAGUUAUUGGAGAUUUUGGGAAAGUUGUUGUGAUACUCCUCUCUUGCCCUCUCGACUUAGUUAUUAGAAUUACCUCCCCCCUUCUUAUAGGUGUGGCUGCUGUGAUCAGGUUGCUUCCCACUAUUCCCUUGUCUCUGAUCUGAUUUGGCUCCUUCGAAAUUCCUUUUUCCUUUCUCAGUUUGCUGCUCCUGCCUGUCUGAUUGAUCAGAUUUUUCAUUAGCCUGUUCAUGUCUUUGCUCAUUUGCCUUCCCUUAUCUUCCAUCUUUGUCAUCAUUUUGCAAAUUACCUGCAUUAAGAAUAGGAGUUAGGUGUGAUGAAGUACCUGUCAUGGCAAAGGAGAAAUUGGACGUUUCAGUUGUUGAUGCUGUUGAGUGUGUGCUCAUGUUCUUCGUGUUAGUGCCCUGUUGCUCAUUCAAAUCUUCCCCCUGCUGAUUUGUUUCCUUUGUUUGUUGUUUUUGCUUCAAUUUCAUGAGGAACAAUUGUAGUGAUGUCUCGUUCCUCCCUUCGAACACAGAUUGAGGUUUCCCUGCACUUUCAUGUCUCCCAUGUUGAGCCAUGGACUUGUGAUCAGUGGAAGGUGUUGGAUUGUUGUUAUUGAUGCUUCCCCUGUUAGAAUAAUUGAAGAAACCUGUUACUAGAGUGUUUUGGGCUUGAGAGUCAGCCUCUUUCGACGACCAUCCAUUGAUUCCGGCAUAUGGAGCUGUAGCGUCACCGGAGUUCUCACCGACGGCAUUUCGACCGUCCAUUUGCUUCAAAAUUUGGCUGAGAGGGGCCUCAUCAUUGGGGAAACAAACCCCAGUGAUCAAAUCCCUUCGAAUUCGACCGGAAGUUGCUCGAAUAUGGGUGCGCGAUCCGGCGAUUCUGUCGCGAUUCCUCCCAAAAUUGCCUCUCGAUUUCUCCCAAAAUCGCCUCUCGAUUUUGAGUGUUUGGGACGAUGGAAAUGGCAAAUUUUUGGACCUGUAAUAGAUCCUGAUGAGAAGAGUUCAUUUCCAUAGUCUGUUCCUCUCAAUUCCUACCAGAAAUUCCUUGGGAAAUAUUUUUGCGAUCUUUGUCGAACACCCCUUCAAAACUCGCAGGUUCCAUCGCAUCUUUGACCUGCAAAAUUCGAGGUGAUCUGAGGUUGUUCUUGGGGCGUGCUAUACAGGGGUAAGGAGCCUUCAUCAAGGUGCACCUUUUGGGUUUGGUCCGGCGGCCCACGCGCCGUUGCGGCACUGGGCGAGCUGGAAUUCCAGCCGUUGUGAGAGAGCGUCUGCAAAGAGAGAGAAAAUUCUAGAGAGAGAAAAAAUCCAAAAAAUGAGGCGCGGUGUACUUUGGGCUUUUUUUUAUUAUUUUAUUUUAAUACCCUUGGAGGGGUAGGGGCUGAGCGACACCCCCAGGCCUUAACAUUAAUCUAAAACAAAAUUAUACAAGGAGGGGGGCAUAAAACCAAACCUCCAAUUUUUAAGAUGGUUUAGAGUCGACUUUCCUAAUGAACUUCAACUCCUCCCCUUACAAUUGAAAGAUGCAACCUAAAUACUAAUAGUCUAAGGAGAGGACUCCUCUCGUUACAAGAUAUCUAGGAAGCGUAAAUUAGGGAGACUCUCCCUUUACAAUAAAAAUCAUAUACAAAAAACUAACUAGUCUAUAUCUCUAUUCAAAGUAGCUAUAUUACUUGGAUAUAGCCAAAUUGAAUAGAUACAACCUUCAAGGGGGUUCAAAAAUCUUUUUAGUCUUCUUUCUUCUAAAUGUUGGCAUGUUUUGCAGGUCCAUUUGGUAGUAUGCUUGGGUUUCUUUGGGUAGUUGAUUCGUGUUGAAGUAGACUUGAGGUGUUGUUGUGUUGUGACUGUGCUUUGCAAGGGAAUCUGCCACACUGUUUGCUUCCCUGAAAAUGUGAGAGCAGCUGAAGUACUGUGUUUGUGAGAUAAGUUGCUGGAUUUCCUCUACGUGAUUAGCAACAGUCCAUUGAGGGGCUGUUUCCUUGGUAAUCCACUGAACCACCAGUUGCGAAUCCAACUCCAUUUGUAUAUUUUUGUAGCCUAGUUCUAGUGCCCACGAUAGUCCAAGUUGAGCAGCCUUAGUUUCUGCUUGAUUGUUCGAUCCUUCUCCAAGAAAUAUUGAGUAUGCCAUCACCAUUUUGCCUUCUCUGUCCCUGAGAAUACCUCCAGCCCCUAUCUUCCCUGUGUUAAUGACAGCACUCCCCAUCUGUGUUGAGCUUGAUCCAAUGCUCUGGAGGUCUUUUCCACGCUACCAUCUAUACUUUGAUAGUAUGUUUGCACCUUUCGCUUGUUUGGAUUAAUGUUGUCCAUCUUGCAGGCCAAUUAAUUUGGGGAAAGGCAUUUUUCAGCAUCUUGUAUGUAUCUUUAUAGAUUGCAUAUUUGACCCGGCUGAUAUUAGUGACUUUGCCUCCGUAUUUACUUGCACACCUGUUCUUCCAUAGGUUCCAACAGAUGAAGACUGGCGUAGCUUGUAACAGUAGUUGAUGGCCUGCAUUUCGUGGCUUUGCUGUCCACCAUUGUCUCAGCCUCGCCUGCAAUGUUAGUUGCCCAGGUUGUAUUCCUGCAGUAGCUGCAAAAAAAUUCCAAACAGCAGUUGCAAAAGGUCCUGAAUUGAAGGUGUGGUCAAUACUGUCCAUGCCUAUUCUGCCAAAACAACAAUAACAAGGUGAAGGCUCAAUGCCAAAGUUAGCUAACUUGUCAUUUGUAGAUAGUUUGCCUUUUAAAGUUCUCCAUAGAAGAAAAGAAGAUUUAAAAGGGAUUGAUUUCUGCCAUAAAAAGGAAUUGAACUUGUUCUUAGCCUUUUUCUCCCUGAUCUGCUCCCAUGCUGUUGCACAACUGAAUUGACCAUGGCUGCUGAGAGUCCAAAUAGGCUGAUCAGGUAGUUGUUGUUGAUGAGGAAUCUGAGUGGCUAGAAUGUUAUUUAGUUGAUUGGCUGGUGCAUUCUCUAUUAAUUUGUUCCACUUCCAUUCUCCAUUCUCCCAGAAUUCUGCCACAGUGGUAUUGUUUAGCCUGUUGCUGCUAUUGGUGUGGUGAGCUAAUGGCCCUAUGCCAGCCAAUUGUCCCACCAAAAGGAACAAUUCCCGGCUUGAAGUCUCCAUUGAAUGUGUUGCUCCACCUGUUGUCUAGAAGCUAGCAUAUGUUUCCAAGUUAGAGAAUCUCCAGUAUCCCAUUUUUUGCUCACCGGAUUAGAUCUUUGAAAAUAUUUAGCUUUCAAGAACUCUCCCCAUAAGGUUCGUUUUGUUCUGAAUAUCCACCAUUGUUUGAAUUGGAAGGAUUUACAAACAUCAUGUAGGUUUCUCAUCCCAAUCCCCCUUCCUCAUAAGGGUAGCUUAAGGUUUUCCAAGAAGACCAAUGAUACUUUUUGUUAUUGUUUCUCCAUCCCCAAAAGAAAUCUGCAAUAAGCAUUUGGAUUUGCUUGAUGAUAGUGUUUGGGGAGUUACUGCAGAUAAUAAGUGUAUUGGCAAAGCCUGAAGAACAUGCUUAGAGAGUACAACCUUUCCACCGAAGCUAAGUUGCUUAGUUUGCCAACCUGUAAUUCUGGAAACAACUUUGUUAAUAAGAUCUGAGAAAUAAACAUUCCUAGGUCGGCCAACAAAUAAAGGGCAACCUAGGUAAGUGAUGAGGCCUUGUUUUUGUUUAAAACCAGUUAGCCUUCUAAUCCUAUCCUUAGUGCUACUGAAAGCACUAGGGUGAAGCAUAAAAUUGCUUUUAUCUCCAUUAAUAAGUUGCCCUGAAACCUUCUCAUACUCCCUCAAGGUGUACAUAAGGAGUUUCAAGGUUUUGGAUCUUCCUGAAGUGAAAAGAAUUAUGUCAUCUGCGAAGCUUAGAUGAUUCACUUGAGGCCCCCUUUGCUCCAUGAUGAAACCAUGAUAUUUCGGAUGAUUGUGUAACAUAUUGAGUGAUCUUGAUAAUACUUCCGCACCUAAAAUAAAUAGGGCCGGAGAGAGUGGAUCACCCUGUUUGAGGCCUCUAGUAGAUUGGAAGAAAAACCUUUUUACCAUUGAUAAUGACAGAAUACCAGUUAUUGGCCAUGAUUCUCCAAAUCAUGUCAAUAAACACCUCAUUGAACCCCAUUUUCCUUAGAACUAGACAAAUAUAUGACCAAGAUACCCUGUCAUAAGCUUUUGCCAUGUCUAAUUUAACAAUCACAUUACUGCCAAUGUUGGGAUUCUUAAUAUGAUGGAUGAUUUCCUAAGCGAGCAUGAUAUUUUCAGAUAUGCUUCUUCCUUUUACAAAACCAGACUAGUUGGUAGAGAUCAAAGACGGGAGGAUAGGACUAAUGUUAUGCCUCAUAUUUUUUUAUACGUAGUGCGCAUCGUGAUCUAGAAGACGUAAAGAAAUAUUAGGCAAAGAUGUUAUUUCCAAAUGUGAUAUUAAGUAUGAGUUGGCUAAUGUAAGUGCCAUUAACUUUAAGUGAGGGAUUGGAUUAAUUAGUGGCUAAUUUGGAUUGAUUUAAUCCAAUGGGCCCCACCACUCAUAAUUAGUGGCGAUAAGGAUUAAUUUAAUCCAGUGGGCCCCACCACUCAAGGCAAAAAUUAAAAAGGGAUCAGAUUGUGGGCUGGCCUUAGUGGACAGGUGUAGAGGGGGGCUGCCUCCACUUCAUACUAUUAAAUGAGGUGGAGAAAUCCACUCCAUGCUAAAUAAAGUGGUGAAAUGCAUUGCUGCAUAUUAUCUUCUUCUUCACCACUUGUCUUAGGCAGCCAUGGAAAUGGAGAAACCAACCCUGCAACUCUUGGCCAGCAGCUGCAAAUAAUUUGGUUAGUAAUCUCCUUGUUUGGUGUGUUAAUUCUUUAGAAUACCCUUGUUAAUUAUCCAUUAAUUUUAAGAAGGGGGCAUGACCAGUAGCUUAGGAAGUUUGUUUUAGUUAUUGAAUGUGCUAAGUAUGAACGGAAACCAUAAUCGGAUUAUUAGUGGUGUCGUGUUGGUGCUUGGGCUGUUUUGAUUAAAGCAAACUGCAGGAAAAUUCUUUUUUGGCAUUAUGUAUAUGUUGAAUGUGAUUAUGAGUAUAUACUCCAAAGGAUGAAUAUGAUAAGGUAGAUGUGUUGCGAAUUAUAAAACGAGUUAUCGCUCGGUGUGUCGUUGCUUCGCUGCUAUGGUUACCGAGACGGAACUGUUUUGGGGAGGGGGCUGUUCAAUAUGAUUCUUUGGGUUAUAUGUGUUAUUGGUAUUGCUGUGGAUAAUUUGGAGUGUUGUCGGAUUGGGACGAAGUAAGGAAAAUAGGGGAAGUGCUGCCGAAUUUUCGUUAGAUUAUUAGCUAGCUUACAAGAAAGUAAAGCACGAUGUUUAUCUAAUUGCGGCACGAUUGUUGCUUGUUAUAGAUUAAUAGCUUGAGCAGUAAAUAUUGGACGUGCGGCUCGAUUAUACGGUAUGUAACGCUGUCCCUUCUUUCUUUGUUUGGCAUGACUUUUAAAAAUAAGCGAAUAAUGGACAGAUUUGAUACUUACCUCUAGAGCAUCUAGGUCACGUAUAUUCUUGCUUCCACAAUUAUUCCUCUAUAUAUCGGCUAUGUCUAAGGCUAUGAUAAUCUCUAAUAUCUAUGGUAGUGCUUCUUAGAGUCAUUGAGAUUUUACGUUUCCAUAUCGUAUUAAAGGUUCAUAAUCUUGAUAAAACAUUAAUCUUUGGUAAUACUCCUUGUUGGUUCACGUUGAUUGUUCUAUUGAGUUGUAAGAAAUGAUUUUAAUUGCAUAUGGUUGCUCAUAAUAUUCUGCUCGUGCAUAGAGUCAUUUAUCAUUUCACCGAGUCCCAGGCCGGGUAAUGUUCGUGCGGAGUUUCUUGCAUAUGUCACCGAGUUCCUCACUAGAGGGCCGGGUAUGUAUAUUAUAUAUAUGAUUUGUGAUGAGGAUGGUUAUGAUGAUGAUGAUGACGGAGAUGAUGUGAUGAUUAUUUUGCCGAGCCCCUUACUAGGGAAGCUGGGCACCUUAAAUGUUCAAUAUAUGCAUGAUUUUCACUUAAAAGGGUAUAUGUGUAGCGAUAUUUUGUUUCGACUUGCCAUAUUGGUAUCUUGUCAUCUUUACCUUAUGCUUUACAUACUCAGUACAUUGUCCGUACUGACCCCCCUUUCCUCGGGGGGCUGCGUUUCAUGCCCGCAGGUGUAGAUGCACAGUUCGGUGAUCCUCCCGCCUAGGAUAUCUACUCUACUGAUUGGGAGAGCUCCACUGUUCCGGAGCCCAGUCAUUUUGGCACAUAACUUUUGUGUAGUCUUUUGCUCGUCUAUGGGUAUGGCGGGGCCUUGUCCCGUCGAGUUUCACUAAUGUACUCUUAGAGGUCUGUGGACAUUAUGUGGGUUGUAUAUAUAUGUUUUGGAUAAUGGUCUGGACAUGGUUUGUUUGGGAUGUCCGCUUGUACAGGGGCAGCCUUGUCGGCUGCGUACAUCAUUGUGUAUUGUGUAGUGGCAGCCUUGUCGGCAUACGUAUGUUAUUAUGCUUUGAAUAGUGGCGGCCUUGUCGGCUCGCGUAUGCUGUUAUGGUUGAAUGGUUAUGACUCCUUAUGAGACAGGUCCUCUUAUAUGUAUACGACGUUGGGGUUGGCUUGAUUUGAUUAAAUUCCAUAUUGUCUUAGUUUCAGUUAGUUAUACUUAGCAGGUUUGUAUGUGGGUGUCCAAAACGGGCACUAGUCACGGCCCAUCGCAUUAGGUCGUGACAAAGAGUGGUAUCAGAGCGGUUCUUCCUCGGAAGUGUCUACAGACCGUGUCUAGUAGAGUCUUGUUUAUCGGUGUGUUGUGCACCACAUCUAUAAACAGGAAGCUACAGGACAUUUAGGAUGUCAUUCUUUCUUCUUAUUCUAGAUCGUGCGAUAGAGCUAUAUUAACAGGAUAAUCCCUCUCUAACGAAUCCGUGUGUUUUCAGCUAUGCCUCCAAAGAAAGCAACAGCCGCCCAGAAGGGAAAAUCGAUAGCAGAAGGUACUAGUCAGACCCGGAGAGUUACUAGGGCCCGUGCCCAGUCUAUGCCUGGUAUGAUGCUCCAGUCGGAGAGCUCUGCUACACCCCCACCGCCAGAAGAGCUUAGAGCAACAGCAGCUCCAGUUCGGGGGACACCACCAGCCCCCGAGGCCCAAACAUCUGAACCUCCAGCUCCUCAGUCAGGGGCGGAGGAUAGGGCCAUGAAAGAUGCGGUUCAAUUGCUGACUAGAUUAGUGGCAGAUCAGGCUCGAAGGCAUGGACUAGGAGUUGAUCAUGCGGAUAGAUCUGAUAGCUUAAGGGCUCGUGACUUCUUAAGUUGUAAUCCUCCAGAGUUCUUUGGGUCAAGGCCCCAGGAUGAUCCGCAAGAGUUUAUUCGUCAGAUGCAACGUACAUUGAGGAUAAUCAAGGCUUCGGAGACCGAGUCUGUUGAGUUGGCUACGUAUCGUUUGCGGGAUGUAGCUAUUAAUUGGUAUGAGACUUGGGAGUUAUCUAGGGGUGAGGGUGCUCCUCCAGCGGUAUGGGAUGAAUUUGUGGAGGCUUUCCAGGGCCACUUCCUGCUUCCAGAGAUGAAGCAAGCUAGAGUCGAUAGAUUCUUGCGUUUGAAGCAAAAUGGCAGGAGCGUUCGAGAGUAUAGCCUCGAGUUUGACUCAUUGGCUAGGCAUGCGCCUACUAUUGUGGCUGAUAUGGCAGACAGGAUACAUCAUUAUGUGAUAGGAUUGGAUCGUUAUCUAAUUGACGGUUGUAUGGCAGUGACUCUUCAACCAGGUAUGGACAUUGCUCGGGUAGAGGCAUAUGCACAGGGGGUAGAGGAUCGGCACCGGGGACGUCAGCCAGAUAGAGAUUAUAAUAGAGGCCAGCAUAAGAGGGCUAGAUCAGCAGGUUAUCCUGACGAGUUUCAAAGAGGGCAGUCUCAGCAGCAUGUUAGAUUUUCUUCCCAUCCAGCACAGAGUGCACCCCCACGUUUCAUGGGUAGGGGGUUCGAUCGUAUGGGAUAUUCGGAAGCUGGUCAGAGCUCUAGGGCGUCAGGGUCACAGAUGGGGCGGGGUUUGAGCCAGUCGAGGCCACCUUUGCCUCGGUGUUCUCGUUGUGGUAAGUCCCAUCCUGAGGAAUGUUGUUGGGCUACAGGUGCGUGUUUUUCUUCCGGCCGUCAGGGCCAUACUAUGAGGGAGUGUCACCUUAGAGGUAGUGCAGAUGGUAUGGCACAGCCUACAGGGUCCGUUGCUGGUUCAUCUUCUUCUGUGGCUAUGCGCCCUACGGGGCAGGGUAUUCAGGCGCUAACAGGCCGUGGUAGAGGAUGUGGUGGAGCUUCCAGUUCUAGCGGUCCCUCAAACCGUAUAUAUGCUUUGACUAAUAGGUAAGAUCAGGAGGCGUCACCUAAUGUGAUCACAGGUAUAUUAUCACUAUUCUCCCGAAGUGUGUAUGCAUUGAUAGACCCAGGUUCCACCUUAUCAUAUAUAUCUCCCUUUGUUGCUAGUAGGAUCGGAAUAGAGUCUGAGUUGAUAGAACCAUUUGAGGUAGCCACACCUGUAGGAGAUUUUGUCAUAGCUACGCGAGUAUAUAGGAAUUGUUCAGUAGUUAUAUAUAGUCAUCGUACCGUAGCAGAUCUAAUAGAGUUAAAUAUGAUUGAGUUUGAUAUUAUCAUGGGCAUGGAUUGGUUGGCUGCUUGUUAUGCUAAUGUUGAUUGCAGAGGAAAGAUAGUUCGAUUUCAAUUUCCAGGGGAACCGAUUAUAGAGUGGAAAGGAAGUACAGUAUCGCCGAAAGGUAAGUUCAUUUCAUACCUCAAGGCCGAGAAGAUGGUUAGAAAAGGCUAUAUUUACCAUCUGAUUCGGGUGCAUGACAUAAAGGCAGAGGCACCGACUCUUCAAUCAGUCCUGGUAGUUAAUGAAUUUCCUGAUGUAUUCCCCGAGGAACUUCCAGGCCUUCCUCCAGAACGGGAGAUAGAGUUUACUAUAGAUGUACUGCCAGAUACCCAGCCUAUAUCUAUACCUCCUUAUAGAAUGGCACCUGCUGAGUUGAAUGAAUUGAAAGAGCAUAUGAGGGAUUUGCUAGAAAAGGGCUUCAUCAGGCCUAGUACGUCACCUUGGGGAGCACCGGUACUGUUUGUGAGGAAGAAGGAUGGGUCACUGCGGAUGUGCAUUGAUUAUAGGCAGUUGAACAAAGUAACAAUAAAGAACAGGUAUCCCCUCCCAAGGAUUGACGAUCUAUUUGACCAGUUGCAGGGUGCAAAGUGUUUUUCAAAUAUAGACUUGCGGUCAGGUUAUCAUCAGGUGCGGGUAAGGGAGGCAGAUAUUCCAAAGACGACAUUCCGGACCCGAUAUGGGCAUUAUGAGUUUAGAGUGCUGUCUUUUGGGCUGACUAAUGCUCCAGCGGUGUUCAUGGAUUUAAUGAAUCGAGUAUUU
rnacentral:lncRNA from 1 species